UCAGUAUGCUUAGGGGACUUGUUUAAGGCCAGACAGCUAAGUAUCACAGCUGGACUAUGAGUGAUGUCUUUGACUUGGAGCAGGAUACAGAUCACAUGGGUCUGGUUUCUUCCUCUCUUUAUGAGGAUGAAAGUAAAGUCUCUUUUGGGUUGAUAUGAGAAUGACAGGAGUUAGCAUAGAUAAGUGAUAACUGAUAUAUAUUGGUUUGAUUUACUGGCUUUCUAACUUUGCAGUUGUGUGUAAAUAAGCAGAGUUUAUAUAGUGGAAGCAGGUAAAAUGUAGAACUUUCUUCAGGCUAGUGAGAAGCAGGCAGAAGACCACAGCAGACUGGGUAGAAAAGCUGCCACAUUUGGUAAGCGAGUUUCCUGCCCUUCACGAAGUGAAUAACUUUGUUCUCCAUACCCUUGCUGCGUGAUGGUCUGCUGAAAUGCACGGGUCUCUAUACACGUGAACCGAACGCUCUGAAGGCCAGAAGCAAAUUAAAGAGUUCCUCUCUUUAAGCCGACUUUCUCAGAGAAGAAAAAGAAGCCAGCCAUGCUUCCGUGUCGCCUGAAACUCUACAGAGAACCUCUCCAUUUGGUGAAGCAGAACGCAGAACCCACGAUUCGCCCUCUGCUGUCCUGGUCCUCGGAUUCUACAGUUAACUGCAAACAGAUGUUUGUGUUCACGUCUUACAUUUUCUUCCCCACACCUCUGUGGUCUGAAUUGAUCAACUGACUUCGUUUUAAAAGCUCUCUCUCUCUCUCUCUCUCUCUCUCUCUCUCUCU